CCGGUCCUUGGAGAUCGGGAAGGCCACCGGUGUGAACUGAGAGACCUCCUUCAGGAAGGAGAUGAUCCCGUUGUUGUUCACGUAGAGCCCGGUGUGCCCCGCUCCGAAGAAGGGGAAGCGCACGGAGAGGGGCCGCAGCUCGGAGCCGCCGUCGUCCUGCUUCAGCGUGGCGGCGUCGCCCUGCGCCGGCCCGAACGGGUAGAAGUCCGCCAGCGGCACCACGCCGCCCGCCCGCAGCCACUCGCCCAGCAGCGCCGCCAGCGCCACCCAGCCCGCCGGGCCCCGCAUGGCCGCGCCCGUCGCACUCCGGCCCGCGUCUCCCUCACGCCGGCACCGGCAGCCGCGACAUGGCGGCGCGCGAGGCGGAGCGGAGCGGAAUGGAACGGAUCCGCGCCCGCAGCUCGGAGCUCCG
rnacentral:lncRNA from 1 species